CUGCUGCCUCCCGUAGGAGUUUGGACCGUGUCUCAGUUCCAAUGUGGGGGACCUUCCUCUCAGAACCCCUAUCCAUCGAUGCCUUGGUGGGCGUUACCCCGCCAACAAGCUAAUGGAACGCAUCCCCAUCGAUGACCGAAAUUCUUUAAUAGUUCUACCAUGCGGAAGAACUAUGCCAUCGGGUAUUAAUCUUUCUUUCGAAAGGCUAUCCCCGAGUCAUCGGCAGGUUGGAUACGUGUUACUCACCCGUGCGCCGGUCGCCA
rnacentral:rRNA from 1 species